UGAGGAGGAGAUGUUGGUUCUGGGAAGGAAGCUUGGGAUUUGGGUAUUCAGGAUCCAGAAGUGAGAGAGCCUGGGAAGUUCAGGAACCAGAGAAAGAAAAAGACUUGCCCAUUCUCACCCAUGACCCUGUGCUCAGCAGGUGCUAGAAGAGACUUCAGGCUCCGUGACUAAAAGGCGUCAGACCAGUUGAUAUACCCACAGCUGCCAUGUAUUUCAGGACAGCCAGGAGGGGGCGCACAUCCGCCGAGAAACUGUGGGCAAGAGCGUCUGUGCGGAACCACGGAGCCACCAGAGGGCGCGCGAUCCCGCCCCAACGAACUUCCCGCUGAGGUGCCAGAAGCAGCCAGGAGCUUCAACUUCCUCAGGGCAGCACGAGGGUCGUGUUAACUUGGUGUUCUUCAUUGAGACGGGGUUUCACCGUGUUAGCCAGGAUGGUCUCGAUCUCCUGACCUCGCGAUCCGCCCGCCUCGGCCUCCCAAAGUGCUGGGAUUACAGGCGUGAGCCACCGCGCCCGGCCUCAGCUGGUUUUUCAAAAGUCAUGGCGUGUAAUUGUCAGAACAGUGAACUUCGGAGAUCCACCGGAGGGGCGAGGCCACAGCUCAACCGCGAGCACCUGAGCAUCCUGCACCGCCUGCGACGGCCGUCAGGGGGCGCGAUGCCGCCUCACAGAACCUCAAGAGGCGCCCGAGUUCCGGCACAGAAGCCCGGCGGCUCCAGGGGGCGGAGCCGAGCCGCCUCCUCAGGACCUACGCAGGAGGCGCCGUCAUCCCUACAGGGACACCCGAGAGGACCCAGCCUCCUCCUCCUCAGGACCCACUCGGGAGACGUCGCUGGCUCUAUAGGAACACCUGGGGACCGUGGCCAGGGACCACCCAGCCUCCUUCUCCUCAGCUCCUCAGGAACGACUGGGGAAGCUGUGGCUUCAUGGUCCCCGAGGCUGCCCGAGGAAAGGUAUUUCAGGACAGCCAGGAGGGGGCGCACAUCCGCCGAGAAACUGUGGGCAAGAGCGUCUGUGCGGAACCACGGAGCCACCAGAGGGCGCGCGAUCCCGCCCCAACGAACUUCCCGCGGAGGUGCCAGAAGCAGCGAGGAGCUUCAACUUCCUCAGGGCAGCACGAGGGUCGUGUUACCUUGGUGUUCUUCAUUGGUGAGUAAAAAGCUCCUGUCCACGGCCCUGAGUGCCAAGGAGUGAGUAUUUAGAGUACUCUGCAGAGGAAGAACUUCAUCUAGAAAAAGA